GUAGGUGGCAAGCGUUGUCCGGAAUUAUUGGGCGUAAAGCGCGCGCAGGGCGGUCCUUUAAGUCUGAUGUGAAAGCCCACGGCUCAACCGUGGAGGGUCAUUGGAAACUGGGGGACUUGAGUACAGAAGAGGAAAGCGGAAUUCCAAGUGUAGCGGUGAAAUGCGUAGAGAUUUGGAGGAACACCAGUGGCGAAGGCGGCUUUCUGGUCUGUAACUGACGCUGAGGCGCGAAAGCGUGGGGAGCAAACAGGAUUAGAUACCCUGGUAGUUCACGCCGUAAACGAUGAGUGCUAAGUGUUAGGGGGUUUCCGCCCCUUAGUGCUGCAGCUAACGCAUUAAGCACUCCGCCUGGGGAGUACGGCCGCAAGGCUG
rnacentral:rRNA from 1 species